AGUUCAAAAGUGCACUGCCGCCAUUUUCUGUGUGCUGACGUGCAUUUUGCUGCUUAUACAACUGUCUGCAAUGCAGCGCAGUGUGUGUCAGCCUGCGAUUGAGUCUGCUCCAAUGCGUCAAAUAUGGUGCGUCACAGCGUGAAAAGGUAUGUAUAUAAGUGCCCAUUACUUCUUGUCCUGCCCCCUGUUGCCACAGAGAACAGUUGGUCACCAUUCUCUUUCCAACAAGAGGCCUAGCUAAUUGAAUUGGAGGCUUUACUAUCUCUAAAAUGAUUGCUCGCAAAAGAAGGAAGGAAAUGAAUUAUCCCUAUUUUACAGCAUUGCACAGCAGGGUAGUUGUAUUACAGAUUUUCUACCCGUCUCUGAAGCAGCAAGCAUUAGGCACAACCACAAUUCUGGAUUUGAGGGAUAACAACCUGAUUUGUUGUUCCCUCUUCCUCUCCAGAAAGUGCACUCAGCAUCAAGAGUAACGAAACAUCUUAUAUAGAUCUACUUUACACAUUUGGUACCCCAUCAAGUCCUCUUUAGCUGGACAGAUAAUGGCUCAAAAGGAGGGAUGGAGGGAGGAGAAAGAUGCAGAGGAGAAGGGAAUCCCUCUGGGAUCCAGCAAGACUAGAGAUACUUCUUUCCAAGGACACUGGCAUGAGAACUAGCUGGCAAAAUAGUGGAAUAUAAUGUAAAUUAUUAAUUCCUUAUAUUAAAAGCCAGUUGUAGAUCAGAUGCCACAUGGAAAGGUAGAAGAUGACUAUUAAAUUCACUCCCUAGUGUUCUGCUGUUUUAUAUGUAAUGUCCCUUUUUUAUCUUCCAAGGCCAUUCUUGAGAUAACAUUUGAAAAUUGCUGUUAAUGAGGCACUUGUUGGUCAACUGAUGGAGUCCAAAUAUUGGGACUCAACAGGAAAAGGCCAAUCUAGUCUGCAUUUCACACAGGAGUCCUACAUGGUUGGAACUUGAGAGAGGAUUUUAGAUCAAAUGCUUUUGUUCCAACAGCUAACACAUGAUCUGAAGGGACAGAUGUUUCCUGCAGCAGGACUGGUUCUUCAAAGCCACUGUUCAAUAUCCUUCUGAGCUUUGAAUUUGUUCCCUGUGUUUAGUUUCUGGACUUUUGAAAAUAUUGAUGCUUCAUAUUUUUAUUCAGAACAGGAAAUGAUUCCAAUGCUUUGCAAGGCUCUAUCUAGUAUGUAUUUGGCUGGUUACCAUGAUGGAUUGUUUUAUAUCAAAAUGAUCUCAAUAAUUAAUUUUAAUCACAAUUAAUAUCAGCAAACAGGACAAAUCAUUUUCUAUAUUCUGGUUUACAUUUGUAAAUUUGCCUAAAAAGGGUGAUGCUCAUUGAUUGGUAACUGUUUAAACAAUGACUUAAAUGAAAUAAAGCCCUUGGGGAGAAGCUCUUGUUAUCAGUCAUGGUGGCCUGUGGCUUUAAAGCAUGUGUGCAGCCUGGGU